CCGCCGGCGACCGGCGCACGGGUGAGUAACGCGUAUGCAACCUGGCCGUGACAGAUGGAUAACCGGGAGAAAUCCCGCCUAAUACAACAUAAUGCCGGGAGGGGACAUCCCCUGCCGGCCAAAGGGGCGACCCCGGUCACGGAUGGGCAUGCGGCGCAUUAGGUAGUUGGUGGGGCAACGGCCCACCAAGCCGACGAUGCGUAGGGGUUCUGAGAGGAAGGUCCCCCACAUUGGAACUGAGACACGGUCCAAACUCCUACGGAAGGCAGCAG
rnacentral:rRNA from 1 species